AUUGAACGCUGGCGGCAGGCCUAACACAUGCAAGUCGAGCGGGGUUUUCGGACCUAGCGGCGGACGGGUGAGUAAUGCGUAGGAAGCUACCCGAUAGAGGGGGAUACCAGUUGGAAACGACUGUUAAUACCGCAUAAUGUCUACGGACCAAAGUGUGGGACCUUCGGGCCACAUGCUAUCGGAUGCGCCUACGUGGGAUUAGCUAGUUGGUGGGGUAAUGGCUCACCAAGGCGACGAUCCCUAGCUGGUUUGAGAGGAUGAUCAGCCACACUGGAACUGAGACACGGUCGAGACUCCGACGGGAGGCAGAAGUGGGGAAUAUUGGACAAUGGGCGCAAGCCUGAUCCAGCCAUGCCGCGUGUGUGAAGAAGGCCUUCGGGUUGUAAAGCACUUUCAGUAGGGAGGAAGGGUGUUGUGUUAAUAGCACAGCAUUUUGACGUUACCUACAGAAGAAGCACCGGCUAACUCUGUGCCAGCCACCGCUGUAAGAC
rnacentral:rRNA from 1 species